AACGCUAGCUACAGGCUUAACACAUGCAAGUCGAGGGGAAACGACAUCGAAAGCUUGCUUUUGAUGGGCGUCGACCGGCGCACGGGUGAGUAACGCGUAUCCAACCUGCCCACCACUUGGGGAUAACCUUGCGAAAGUAAGACUAAUACCCAAUGAUAUCUCUAGAAGACAUCUGAAGGAGAUUAAAGAUUUAUCGGUGAUGGAUGGGGAUGCGUCUGAUUAGCUUGUUGGCGGGGUAACGGCCCACCAAGGCUACGAUCAGUAGGGGUUCUGAGAGGAAGGUCCCCCACAUUGGAGCUGAGACACGGUCCAAACUCCUACGGGAGGCAGCAGUGAGGAAUAUUGGUCAAUGGGCGAGAGCCUGAACCAGCCAAGUAGCGUGCAGGAUGACGGCCCUAUGGGUUGUAAACUGCUUUUAUAAGGGAAUAAAGUGAGUCUCGUGAGACUUUUUGCAUGUACCUUAUGAAUAAGGACCGGCUAAUUCCGUGCCAGCAGCCGCGGUAAUACGGAAGGUCCGGGCGUUAUCCGGAUUUAUUGGGUUUAAAGGGAGCGUAGGCCGGAGAUUAAGCGUGUUGUGAAAUGUAGACGCUCAACGUCUGCACUGCAGCGCGAACUGGUUUCCUUGAGUACGCACAAAGUGGGCGGAAUUCGUGGUGUAGCGGUGAAAUGCUUAGAUAUCACGAAGAACUCCGAUUG
rnacentral:rRNA from 1 species